AGUGAACGCUGGCGGCAGGCCUAAUACAUGCAAGUCGAACGGCAGCACAGCAGAGCUUGCUCUGUGGGUGGCGAGUGGCGGACGGGUGAGGAAUACAUGGGAAUCUGCCCAGUCGUGGGGGAUAACGUAUGGAAACGUACGCUAAUACCGCAUGCGCCCUUCGGGGAAAGCCGGGACCGCAAGGCCUGGCGCGAUUGGAUGAGCCCAUGUUCGAUUAGCUAGUUGGCGGGGUAAAGGCCCACCAAGGCGACGAUCGAUAGCUGGUCUGAGAGGAUGAUCAGCCACACUGGAACUGAGACACGGUCCAGACUCCUACGGGAGGCAGCAGUAGGGAAUAUUGGACAAUGGGGGCAACCCUGAUCCAGCCAUGCCGCGUGAGUGAAGAAGGCCCUCGGGUUGUAAAGCUCUUUCGGUCGGAAAGAAAUAUCUAUAGAAAAUAUCUAUAGAGGAUGACGGUACCGACAUAAGAAGCACCGGCUAACUACG
rnacentral:rRNA from 1 species